ACUAGGGGUGAAGUUCUGUUUAUCCACUUGUGAAAGCCUCUGGAGGAAAGAAACAACAUCUUUUGGAGAAAGAAAGGUACUAGAUGCAAUAGCAACUCCAGUUUUAGUCAUGUCCACUUCAAUCCAUCCCUUUAUUACAUCUAAUAUGCUAAGCAACACAGAAGGUUCAGUACCCUUCUCAGACAGGUUUAGUCAUGUCCGCUUCAAUCCAUCCCUUUAUUACAUCUAAUAUGCUAAGCAACACAGAAAGGUCAGUACCCUUCUCAGACAGCAGGGAGUUGAGUAUUUGUGUUACAGAUCGUUUACAAUCUGGGAUGACCAUGACCCUUUCGUUAAUAAGGCCCAACACAGAUUUCAGGUUGGUGAUGACAACACCAACAUCAGCACCUUGACGAGAAGAUGUGACAGCAGAAUCAGGAUCUGAUCUCUGACCCUGUAAGUGGGAGUAUACCAUGACUUGUGGUCAAUAAAAUGUGCACUACAUUAAAAGAAUCUGCCUCACGUACAGUUAAGAGAAGAAUUGAGCCUACCAUGACUUGUGAUCAAUAAAAUGUGCACUACAUUAAAAGAAUCUGCCUUCACGUACAGUUAAGAGAAGAAUUGAGCAAACUCAAACUCAAGAAAAAUGCAUAAAAUCAGAUCUAAUGUUUACCAAAAGACACUCCAGAAUCAUUAAGAGUUUCAGCUAU
rnacentral:lncRNA from 1 species